AGCGAACGCUGGCGGCAGGCCUAACACAUGCAAGUCGAACGAACCCUUCGGGGUUAGUGGCGGACGGGUGAGUAACACGUGGGAACGUGCCUUUAGGUUCGGAAUAACUCAGGGAAACUUGUGCUAAUACCGAAUGUGCCCUUCGGGGGAAAGAUUUAUCGCCUUUAGAGCGGCCCGCGUCUGAUUAGCUAGUUGGUGAGGUAAAGGCUCACCAAGGCUACGAUCAGUAGCUGGUCUAAGAGGAUGACCAGCCACAUUGGGACUGAGACACGGCCCAAACUCCUACGGGAGGCAGCAGUGGGGAAUCUUGCGCAAUGGGCGAAAGCCUGACGCAGCCAUGCCGCGUGGAUGAUGAAGGUCUUAGGAUUGUAAAAUCCCUUCACCGGUGAAGAUAAUGACUGUAGCCGGAGAAGAAGCCCCGGCUAACUUCGUGCCAGCCGCCGCGGUAAAAC
rnacentral:rRNA from 1 species